rnacentral:tRNA from 1 species
GGAGGGCCUACAGCUCAGUGGCAAAGCAUCUGCUUGGCAUGCCUAAAUUCCAGGUUCCAUCCCUGGCAUCUCCA